rnacentral:rRNA from 1 species
UACGUAGGCAGCAAGCGUUGUUCGGAGUUACUGGGCGUAAAGGGUGCGUAGGUGGCUCUAUAAGUAUGGUGUGAAAUCUCCCGGCUUAACUGGGAGGGUGCGCCGUAGACUGUGGGGCUAGAGUGUGGGAGAGGGAAGUGGAAUUCCUGGUGUAGCGGUGAAAUGCGUAGAUAUCAGGAGGAACACCGGUGGUGUAAACGGCUUUCUGGACCAUAACUGACACUGAGGCACGAAAGCGUGGGUAGCAAACAGG